UAGUCCACACCGUAAACGAUGAUUGCUAGUUGUCGGCAGGCAUGCCUGUCGGUGACGCAGCUAACGCAUUAAGCAAUCCGCCUGGGGAGUACGGCCGCAAGGUUAAAACUCAAAGAAAUUGACGGGGGCCCGCACAAGCGGUGGAGCAUGUGGUUUAAUUCGAUGCAACGCGAAGAACCUUACCUGCCCUUGACAUUGACAGAAUCCUGUAGAGAUACGGGAGUGCUUCGGCCUGGAAAACAGGUGCUGCAUGGCUGUCGUCAGCUCGUGCCGUGAGGUGUCAGGUUAAGUCCUAUAACGAGCGCAACCCCUGUCGUUAGUUGCCAGCGAGUCAUGUCGGGGACUCUAACGAGACUGCCGGUGCAAACCGUGAGGAAGGUGGGGGAUGACGUCAAAUCAUCACGGGCCCUUACGUCCUGGGGCCACACACGUGCUACAAUGGUAGGUACAGAGAGCAGCCAUGUCGCAAGGGUAGAGCGAAUCUACAAAA
rnacentral:rRNA from 1 species